UCAGACGAUGCGUCAUGCAUAUCAAUAAGCGGAGGAAAAGAAACUAACAAGGAUUCCCCUAGUAACGGCGAGUGAAGCGGGAAGAGCUCAAAUUUGAAAUCUUAAAGGGUUUCCCUUUACGAAUUGUAGUUUAAAGAAGUGUUCUCUGUUGAGGUUUUGGUAAAAGUUCUUUGGAAUAGGACAUCAUAGAGGGUGAGAAUCCCGUAUUUGACCUUUACUUUCAACUUUGUGAUACACUUUCAAAGAGUCGGAUUGUUUGGGAAUGCAGUCCAAAAUGGGUGGUAAAUUUCAUCUAAAGCUAAAUAUUGGCGAGAGACCGAUAGCGAACAAGUACCGUGAGGGAAAGAUGAAGAGAACUUUGAAAAGAGAGUUAAACAGUACGUGAAAUUGUCAAAAGGGAAGCGUUUGACACCAGUGUUGUUUUUCUGAAAAUCAAUUAAAGAACUGUUUAUGCUAAGCUGUUUAGACUUUAUCAGCUAAUCUGUUUAGUUUUGAGCUUUUCUUUAAUGCACUUUUCAGUUAACAAGUCAACAUCAAUUUCUUUUGCUGUAAAAAAGCUUGAGGAAGGUGGCUUGAGAUUCGUCUUAAGUGUUUAUAGCCUCUUGCCUAUGCAGUCGGAGAGAUUGAGGUCUGCAGCGUAGAUCCUUCGGGGCUAAAUGCAUUUGUGCUAAGUUAUAGCAUUUUAUAGACAACUUGUUGACUAUGAUUUGUCUUGUAGCUUACUCGCUUAUGUUAUUUUACCUACGCUUAGGAUGUUGAAUCUGUGCGAGACUAC
rnacentral:rRNA from 1 species